rnacentral:rRNA from 1 species
UACGGGGGGGGUAAGCGUUGUUCGGAAUUACUGGGCGUAAAGGGCUCGUAGGCGGCCAACUAAGUCGGACGUGAAAUCCCUCAGCUUAACUGGGGAACUGCGUCCGAUACUGGAUGGCUUGGAUUUGGGAGAGGGAUGCGGAAUUCCAGGUGUAGCGGUGAAAUGCGUAGAUAUCUGGAGGAACACCUGUGGCGAAAGCGGCGCACUGGACCACAACUGACGCUGAGGCGCGAAAGCUAGGGGAGCAAACAGG